rnacentral:rRNA from 1 species
ACUCAAAUGAAUUGACGGGGACUUGCACAAGCGGUGGAUCAUGCGGCUUAAUUCGAUGGUAAACGAAGAACCUUACCAGGGUUAGAAAUGGUGACGAAAGCUCUUUGAAAGGAGAGCCCUCGCAAGACGGCACCACAGGUGAUGCAUGGCCGUCGUCAGUUCGUGGUUUGAACUGUUCCCUUCAGUGGGGUAACGAACGCAACCCCCGUUGCCUGUUUUACAUGUCAGGCGAGACUGCUCCCUCACGGGAGAGGAAGGUGGGGAUGACGCCAGGUCAGCAUGUCCCUCUGAUACCCUGGGCUGCACGCAUGAUACAAUGCACAUUACAACGGGACGCAAUGGGGUAACCCGGAGCAAAUCCUUAGAAAGAUGUGCCCAAUUCGGAUUGAGGUCUGCAACUCGACCUCAUGAAGCCGGAAUCGCUAGUAAUCGCGGGUCAGCUAUACCGCGGUGAAUACGUUCUCAAGUCUUGUACACACCGCCCGU